rnacentral:rRNA from 1 species
GACGAACGCUGCGGCGUGCUUAACACAUGCAAGUCGAACGGAAAGGCCCUGCUUUUGUGGGGUGCUCGGGUGGCGAACGGGUGAGUAACACGUUAGUAACCUGCCCUUGACUUUGGGAUAACUUCAGGAAACUGGGGCUAAUACCGGAUAGGAGCUCCUGCUGCCUGGUGGGGGUUGGAAAGUUUCGGCGGUUGGGGAUGGACUCGCGGCUUAUCAGCUUGUUGGUGGGGUAGUGGCUUACCAAGGCUUUGACGGGUAGCCGGCCUGAGAGGGUGACCGGCCACAUUGGGACUGAGAUACGGCCCAGACUCCUACGGGAGGCAGCAGUGGGGAAUAUUGCACAAUGGGCGGAAGCCUGAUGCAGCAACGCCGCGUGCGGGAUGACGGCCUUCGGGUUGUAAACCGCUUUCGCCUGUGACGAAGCGUGAGUGACGGUAAUGGGUAAAGAAGCACCGGCUAACUACGUG